UCCUCUCUCUCUCCUUCCUUCCCCUCCUUCCUUCCUUCCCCUCUCCUUCCUUCCUUCCUCUUUCCUUUCUUUCUUUCCUUCCUUCUCUUUCAUCUCUCUCUCUCUCCCCCCCCCCCUUUCUUUCUCCCUCUCCCUCUCCUCUCUCUUUCUCUCUUUCUUUCUUUCUGACAAGGUCUCAGGGUCUUGCUCUGUGCCCGGGCUGGAGUGCAGUGAUGCAAUCAUAGCUCACUGCAGCCUCGACCUCCUGGGCUCAAGCGAUCCUCACACCUCGGCCUCCUGAGUAGCUGGGACCACAGAUGCACACUACCAUGCCCAGCUAAUUUUUAAAACUUUUUUAGAAAUGGGGGUCUCCGUAUGUUGCCCAGGCUGGUCUUGAACUUCUGGGCUCAAGCGAUCCUCCCACCUAGGCCUCCCAAAGCGCUGGGAUUACAGAUGGGACCCAUCACACCCAGCCCCUGUUCUUUCCCUGCUCUUAUUUCUGCUGCUUUUUGCCCUUUUCCCCACUGAGUCCAGCCGCGGAACUGACGCCAGCUCUCUGAUUUUAUCUUGUGUUUAUUGGGAAAUGGUGGUGCCCAUCUCUGGGCCAGUCCAGACAGCUUCCCCCUAGGAAGUGAGCCAAGUUCCCACGGCGUGUCAGAGUUAAAAACAAGGACAAGAGACAGCGUGAGAGACAUAAGAGAGGGGGCACAGAGAAAGACAGAAAAGCAGAGAGAGGGACACACAGGUCCCCUGCUUCCUCUUCUGUUUGUUCAUUAAUCAGGCUGAUGUCAGGUGGCACAAGGGGCAUUGGACAUCAUUUCAUGGCUCAAGAUCAUUGUCCCUAAGUCUGUUUUCCCAGGCUGUCCCCUUAAGAGCUGGGCUGCCGCGGCCACACCCUGCAGUCCAUGUCACCCUCCAGCCAUUGCUCUCCUGUGGGUGUGCCCGGCAGAGCCUCCAGUUCUGUGCCUGCCCCCUGGAAUGCCCCUAAAGCCCUCCCAGCCCCUUACCCAGCCUUCAAGGCCACACCUGUGCCCCUCCUUCAUGCAGCCCCCAGAUGGGAUCAGGAGGCAGGGUGUGCCUCUCUGUCCCUUAGGGGCUCCCUGGUCAUCUCUGUGCAUGUCUAGAUGCCACUGAGAUGGACUGGCCUUGAUGGCCGGGACUCUAUGUCUUAGCAUCCAGCAUGGCUAGCUGAAGUCAGUGGCUGCAGAGUGUGGGAAUGAGUGAGUGAGUGAGUGAGUGAAUGAAUGAAUGAAUGGGGGAGAACUGAGUGACCCGAGGGAGGCCCAGACCUGGACAGGAGCUUCUGGUGCCUCUUGUCCCUCCUUUUUUUUUUUUUUUUAAGAUGGAGUCUGGCUCUGUUGCCCAAGCUGGAGUGCCGUGGCACAAUCUCAGCUCACUGCAACUUCUGCCUCUCGGGUUCCAGUGAUCCUCCUGCCUCAGCCUCCUAAAUAGCUGCAACUACAGGCGUGCACCACCACAACCGGCUAAUUUUUGUAUUUUUAGUAGAGACAGGGUUUUGCCAUGUUGACCAGGCUGGUCUUGAACUCCUGACCUCGUGAUCCACCUGCCUCGGCCUCCCAAAGUGCUGGGAUUACAGGCGUGAGCCACCGCACCCAGACCCCUCUUGUCCAUUCUUUUCAUGGAUGAGGAGGCUGAGGCCCAAGCUGGUCAGGGGGGUGCCAGGACUGGGGCUCCGACAUUUUCUCUCCCAGGGGAUUCUCAGGAUCCCUCUAUGGGAACAUGAUCAGUGGCUUUAAGGGGCCAGGGGCUUUCCCUCCAGCCAGCCCUGGACUCACAGGCCUCAGAGAACCUGGAGAAGCCAGCCUCACUCACAUGGCUGGGAUUUUCAUCGGGAGAAUCCCACUGGCCAUGUACUGGGCUCUCUCCCAGUCCCUGAGAUUGGGCUCUGGGCUCAGCGCUGAGCAGGACCCAAGGAAGUGGCUUAAGUCUUUGUGGCCAGGCGGUGUCUGCUGUAGAAAGCAGUGUGGCAUGUGGCCAGGUGGUACUGUGGUCAGGGAGAGAGGUUGCCUGGGGCUGUCCAGGCUUCAGCCUGGGAAAGGGAGCACCCGGGGAACCAAGACAAGGUGCAGGGCUGGAGACAGCUUUGGGCUCGGCUGUCGGGGAAGCAUAUUGGCAGGAGGGGCCUCCUAGAUGUCUGGUCAGAGAUGGCCAGGGGGCCAAGGACAUAUGAGAGGCAGCUGAGGGGAGGGACAAGGGUCAUUAGUCCACAUGGGAGCUGGCUGAGGCUGAUGCCCAGGGAUAGGGGAGCUGAGUGGGUGCAGGCCCAGGAAGUGAGCAAUUGCCAGUGACACCGGGUGAAGGGACAGGUGGAGGAGGAGUUGUGAGCUCAGCUGCACAGGACAUUACUCCAAAUGGGGCUGAGGAGAAGGGGGACCCCCAUACUCCCCACCUCCCAAUGCUGAGGCAUGUGGGUAGGGGGCUACCCAGGAGGGCUUCAGGGAAAAAGUGUUCUGAAGGAAGAGGCAGGAGGGUGGUGAAGGGGACAUUUGGGGGCCACCCCUUCUCCAGCUGGCAAAAUUGUCCUGUCCCUGCUGGGUGCGGU
rnacentral:lncRNA from 1 species